rnacentral:lncRNA from 1 species
UAAGAUUAAUCUCAUUAUUAAAAUGACAGAGUGCGAGAAAAGCUUAUCUCUACCAACCAGGAAACUGAAGAUGACAUCCGUGUGACUUCGGUUGUUUGAGGAACAACCAUUGGUUUGUGAUGCAUCACGCCAACAGAUGCAGGCUAUAAAAGAGGCACUGGUUUCACAUCCUCUCCAACCACUGGGACACCCUCAGCUUCUACAGAAGAAGAGACAGCGAGAUGAAGGUUCUGCUGCUCAGCGUUGUCCUUGGUCUGCUUUAUGCAGGCCACGGUGAAGCUCAGCCAAUUCUCAAACCGUUUUCAGGGGAAUGGAAAACCCAUUACAUCGCAGCCAGUAACAAAGACAAGAUCACUGAGGGCGGGCCAUUCCACGCGUACGUACGUCAUCUUGAGUUUCAUGCAAAUAACACAGUUCACCUCGACUUUUAUGUCAAGUCAGACGGAGAAUGUGUAAAAAACAAGUCACAGGAGUAAGGCAAAGACUUUUUGUUUAUCAUGUUGAUUAUGCGGGUGAAAACGAAGUUACAAUUCUUCAUCUGUCACCUGACGCUAUAAUAGGAUCUAUUCACAAUGUGGAUGAAGAAGGAAAAGAGACAGACUUCGUUGCAAUACUCAGCAAACGUGACCGGAUUUCAUACCUAGUCCAUCGGAGGUUCAAAAGGGAGACGCGUAAAAGAGGCAUUCCAGAAGAAAAUAUCGUGAAUUUCUCUGAUAAUGAUGACUGUCCAGAGGAGUGAAUAAAAUUUACUUCCACACUUUUUAGUCACUGAGACCAGGCACAUCCUCUUCUGCAUGGAAUCAAGAUCAACAACACAAAGAUGACUUUCCUGCUUCCUGAUUAACAGGAUCCUUCUCUCUUCACACACACUCUCUUUCCCGUCUCAUUUCUCCUGGUCACUGGUCAUGUGCUGUCUGGUCGUGUUUGAUUUCUGAAGGCUUAAAUAAAUUGAUUUAAUAUCUGCCCUGCA